rnacentral:lncRNA from 1 species
AUGGGAAGGAAAGCACCAGCCAUGGUUUGGGAGAGAAAUCAAAUGGUCAGAAUUACAAAAUUUAAUGGAUCUUUCUAUGUAUUUGAAAACCUCAUACAAAAUUCCAUGGGAAUCCACAAUCAUUCUCAUAUGAGAUUUUAUCCGUAAGUACCUAAUCCCAUUUCACUAUAUCAAAACUAAACAUUUUCUGUAUCUCUCAAAUCUUCAAAAGUCUUGUGAAUCAUCAUGAGUAAUUUUUAAGACUGAGUUAGCUGGAACUGAAUUCAGAAGAUCCAGUGAGUGGGGAGGCUUGACUCAUUGAUUUUUAAUACGUUUGAAUUGGGAAAAACUUUGAGGAAUUAGAAAAGUAAAGAGCAGAGUCCAUGAAUUCUUGGGAACUAGGCCUCUAGCUUUUUGGUGGUGGUUUUGUUUUUACAAUGUGUCUGAGAACUUUAAGUUUUACUAUUAAUAUAUUUUAAAUAAUAUUUGCCCCAGAUCUUGACUUUCCUUGCACAAUAUGCUGGACUGCCUAUGGGCAACUUGAUACCAUUUCCCAUCUUUGCACUAUCAGUGGUGUGGGGAUUUUGAGGCAUAAGAACAAAUUUCUUAGAAUCUCUGUCAGAAGAAUUCUGCUUUACAUUCCACCAGGGAAAGAC